rnacentral:rRNA from 1 species
CAGUAGCCACGGGAAUACGGAGGGGGCUAGCGUUGUUCGGAAUUACUGGGCGUAAAGCGCACGUAGGCGGCUUGGUAAGUUAGAGGUGAAAGCCCGGAGCUCAACUCCGGAAUUGCCUUUAAGACUGCAUCGCUUGAACGUCGGAGAGGUGAGUGGAAUUCCGAGUGUAGAGGUGAAAUUCGUAGAUAUUCGGAAGAACACCAGUGGCGAAGGCGGCUCACUGGACGACUGUUGACGCUGAGGUACGAAAGCGUGGGGAGCAAACAGGAUUAGAUACCCCUGUAGUCCCUGUCUCUUAUAA